rfam:Actinosynnema mirum DSM 43827, complete genome.
CCGGCUCCGGUUCACCCCGGCUACCAGCGCGGGGACCCGGCGGCC